AAUAAAAGUUUUUUUUCCCGCGAAUGCGCUUUCAAAAUAUUCGGUGAAUUCGGAGGUUUGGUUAAUAAUGUAAAUUUUCAAUGAAACUAAUUUGGUGCGGUUAAUGGAAAUUAAAAGCAAAUUUACAAGGCGUAAAUAAGUAUACAUACAGACAUGUGAUGUUUGCAAAGUUUGUUUGAAGAACUGCUAUGCGGAAUCUACUUUAUCACGAACAUUAAAUCCCUAUAUUUGAGUGACACAAAGCAUUCAGUGAAGGUCGUGAAGUCAUCGAAAACUUGCCUCAUUUAAGUUGUCCAUCCUCCAUGUACAUACAUACUAUAUAUAUUAUAAAUUUAACGAAUCAGUUCUUGAAAAUCAUCGUUUUGGUAUCAGAGGAUCUCAAUAGCUUUAUGAUAAGGUUCGCUGACCUAAAAACGAGGAUUCUCCAAGAGUCCCCGUGUCUGUGUGUAUGGUCGAAUGAGUAUGCAUAAGCGAAAUUUGAUAAAGAAACGACAAAAAAGCUGGCAUACUCGAGGUGCGCAUCCGUUGACGCUGCCGACUGCCCUGCAGCUGUGCAAUGGUUGCUGAACUGCUG